CCUUAGAGUUUGAUCAUGGCUCAGGAUGAACGCUGGCGGCGUGCCUAAUACAUGCAAGUCGAACGAGGGGUCUUGUCGUAAGAUGAGACACUCCGAGUGGCGAACGGGUGAGGAACACGUAGACGAUCUGCCCUGAAGAGGGGGAUAACGUUCCGAAAGGGAUGCUAAUACCCCAUAAGCUCACGGGGAUUAGAAGCCUGUGAGAAAAGGGAGCGAUUCGCUUCAGGAGGGGUCUGCGGUCCAUCAGGUAGUUGGCGGGGUAACGGCCCACCAAGCCGAAGACGGAUAGGGGGCCUGAGAGGGCAAUCCCCCACACGGGCACUGAGAGACGGGCCCGACUCCUACGGGAGGCAGCAGUAAGGGAUAUUGCGCAAUGGGCGACAGCCUGACGCAGCAACGCCGCGUGCCCGAUGAAGGCCUUCGGGUCGUAAAGGGCUUUUCUGGCUGAAGAGGAAGGACGGUAAGCCAGGAAAAAGUGUCGGCUAACUACGUGCCAGCAGCCGCGGUAAAACGUAGGACGCGAGCGUUAUCCGGAGUUACUGGGCGUAAAGGGCGGGCAGGCGGCCUGGCAAGAUGGGCGUGAAAUCUCCCGGCUCAACCGGGCGGGGCCGCUCGUGACUGCGAGGCUGGAGGGCGACAGAGGAGCGUGGAAUUCCGGGUGGAGUGGUGAAAUGCGUAGAGAUCCGGAGGAACACCAGAGGCGAAGGCGGCGCUCUGGGUCGCGCCUGACGCUGAACCGCGAAAGCCAGGGGAGCGAACGGGAUUAGAAACCCCGGUAGUCCUGGCUGUAAACGAUGUCCACUGGGCGUGGGUAUGGA
rnacentral:rRNA from 1 species